GGGUGAGAGCCCCGUGGGAUGCGCAUUGAAGCUGUAAGGCCCUUCUGACGAGUCGAGUUGUUUGGGAAUGCAGCUCUAAGCGGGUGGUAAAUUCCAUCUAAGGCUAAAUAUUGGCGAGAGACCGAUAGCGAACAAGUACUGUGAAGGAAAGAUGAAAAGCACUUUGAAAAGAGAGUGAAACAGCACGUGAAAUUGUUGAAAGGGAAGGGUAUUGGGUCCGACAUGGGGACUGCGCAUCGUUGCUUCUUGUAGGCGGCGCUCUGUGCUCUCUCUGGGCCAGCAUCGGUUUUUGCCGCAGGAUAAGGGGCGUUGGAACGUGGCUCCUCGGAGUGUUAUAGCCAACGCCAGAUGCUGCGAGCGGGGACCGAGGGCUGC
rnacentral:rRNA from 1 species